UUAUUGCGAGAACCGCCUCCAGACCAAGUGCCUGUGCCUGGCAGAGCCGGUGUGAGACGAAGAGACCAGCCUUGCCUGCCGGCGGGGUCAUCAAGAGUUUCGGCCGGACCUCCGAGCACACACGGAGAUAGUGAGGAGCCAGACGCAAAGCACAGACUAUGGCGCUGAAACGGAUUAAUACGGAACUUAGUGAUUUGGCCCGUGACCCUCCAGCACAGUGUUCUGCAGGUCCAGUUGGGGAUGAUAUGUUUCAUUGGCAAGCCACAAUUAUGGGACCUAAUGACAGCCCAUAUCAAGGUGGUGUAUUCUUUUUGACAAUUCAUUUUCCUACAGACUACCCCUUCAAACCACCUAAGGUUGCAUUUACAACAAGAAUUUAUCAUCCAAAUAUUAACAGUAAUGGCAGCAUUUGUCUCGAUAUUCUAAGAUCACAGUGGUCUCCUGCAUUAACUAUUUCUAAAGUUCUUUUAUCCAUUUGUUCACUGCUAUGUGAUCCAAACCCAGAUGACCCCCUAGUGCCAGAG